rnacentral:rRNA from 1 species
GGCUCAGAACGAACGCUGGCGGCGCGCCUAAUACAUGCAAGUCGAGCGAGAAGGUGUAGCAAUACACUUGUAAAGCGGCGAACGGGUGAGGAAUACAUGGGUAAUCUACCAUCGAGUGGGGAAUAACCAACCGAAAGGCUGGCUAAUACCGCGUACGCCUCCGAGUCCUCGGGUUCGGAGGGAAAGCUGCACUGUGAGUGUAGCGCUCUUUGAUGAGCUCAUGUCCUAUCAGCUUGUUGGUAGGGUAACGGCCUACCAAGGCUUUGACGGGUAGCUGGUCUGAGAGGACGAUCAGCCACACUGGCACUGCGACACGGGCCAGACUCCUACGGGAGGCAGCAGUAAGGGAUAUUGCGCAAUGGGCGAAAGCCUGACGCAGCGACGCCGCGUGGGGGAUGAAGGUCUUCGGAUUGUAAACCCCUUUCGGGAGGGAAGAUGGAGCGAGCAAUCGUUCGGACGGUACCUCCAGAAGCAGCCACAGCCAACUUCGUGCCAGCAGCCGCGGUAAUACGAAGGUGGCAAGCGUUGUUCGGAUUCACUGGGCGUACAGGGAGCGUAGGCGGUUGGGUAAGCCCUCCGUGAAAUCUCCGGGCCUAACCCGGAAAGUGCAGAGGGGACUGCUCAGCUAGAGGAUGGGAGAGGAGCGCGGAAUUCCCGGUGUAGCGGUGAAAUGCGUAGAGA